AAGUCUGGAGGAAUAUCUUAAGGGCAAUAUUGAAUGCGGAACAAUUUACAUCUUAAGAUCAUAGAUUGUGUGUAAAAUAGCAGUAGCCGACAAGGUGUGGUGUGCUUGUAUUUUUUGGCAGUUGAACGUAAAAAACUAAAAUGGGUAAGGGUGAAGGAGGCGCCGGAAUUUUAUGGGCUUUUCUGUGGUUUCUGGUUUUAAUAUUUCUCGGAUGGCCGAUCGCGUUCUUCAUCGCUUGGUUGUAUGUUCUGCUACUUCCAUUUGGAGCCUGUAUUGCACCAAUCAAAGACGUUAAUCAACAAAUACUUCGAGUUGUGCAACUUCCGUUGACAUGCGCAGAGAAUAUGGUUGGAAUGAAACCCAUGUGUUAAACAUACAAUUUUUGAAAUGUACUCUUGCAUACU